rnacentral:rRNA from 1 species
UACGGAGGGUGCAAGCGUUAUCCGGAUUUACUGGGUUUAAAGGGUGCGUAGGUGGGUCUGUAAGUCAGUGGUGAAAUCUCCGGGCUUAACCCGGAAACUGCCAUUGAUACUAUAGGUCUUGAAUUAUCUGGAGGUAAGCGGAAUAUGUCAUGUAGCGGUGGAAUGCUUAGAUAUGACAUAGAACACCAAUUGCGAAGGCAGCUUACUACGGAUCCAUUGACACUGAGGCACGAAAGCGUGGGGAUCAAACAGG